GGGACGCUGGAGGGCCGCAGCCCCCGCUCCGCCCCGCAGCCGCUGAGCGCUGGCAGUGUUACAAACAAGCGCUUUCUUCACCUUUUUUUUCCCCCCGCAGUAGUGGGUUUGGAGAUUUUCCCACACGCACGCACAGCCCCCCGGCCGAGGGACCCGCGCCCCCUCCUAGUUGCCGGUGCCUUCACUCGGCCCCUGUGGAAGAACGAGGGCGGUCCCUCAAAAUCAUAGCGUUUUUAGCUGUUUUUAUUAUGUGCCUUAUACUCCCAGGAGCUUUGGUGCGUGAGGGCUUUCAGGCCUCUCCGCAGCUGUUUUAGGGAAUCUUCAUUUCUGUGACCAGACGAGCCACAGAAUGUGUGAAAAAAAAAGUAAGUUAGUUGUAGACUCGUGUAAGCGGCUGCUUGCCUUGAAAGGGAGGGGAAACGACCUUGUAAAGCCAUCUGACCAUGGCCUUAGAAGUCACAAGUUGCACCACCAAAUAAAAGCUGGAAAACCACUGGAGCAGAGCGAGGAAGCCUGGGCACCGGAUGAGGAAAAGCUGAUGAAGCAGGAACAUGGAUUAAGUCAUUACAGUCUGUGUGAUGGAAAAUGCCUUAAAUCCUGGAAAAGACGUAACUGCAAUACUGUUUUGAGGCAGGAUCUCUCUCCGCCCUUCCGGAUGAGGCUGCACAGACACGAGGAGAAAAGUUUCUCUGGUCUUCCAAGAAAGCCCUAGCUUCCUCUCUCUUCCUCUGGGAAUGGAGCUGACCUCCUUCUGCCCUUGUCCCUGUGAACAGCGUGUUAUUUCCAGCAGCAGCAAGAAGUUUUGGAGCAAGAAAAUUGAAACGUUCCUGUACUGGUGGUUAGUGCACUCGGUGGGGGGAGGUUUGAAGCCCCUCAGGGCACUGCAGAGGGGCCAGAGCAGGGCUCCGGUGUCCUCAGUGACUGCCUGGGCUCACAGGCACAACCAGACGUGGAUCACUGCCUCUUCCCUGGGUGCACUGUCAAGGACAUCCCAUUUGCUCUCUUUUAGUUGUAUUAUCCAAAAACCAAAGCAAAACUCGGGGGUCUUCAGGGUGAAGCAUCAUCUGUGCUAUAUGAAAGAGCAAGGCAAAGCAGGGACUGAUGAGGCACAAAGUUCCUGCUGUUCCCCUCUGGCUGAGGGAGCUGGUUGCCACGCAGGAAGCUGUGGGAGGCAGAGCUCAUUCUCCCCCACCCCACAGCAGUCAUCUUCACACCUUCACAUCCACCCCAAAGAUCAAGACUGCCACAUUCAGCACCAAAACCUUGGAAACAUUUUUUGCAUCUCAACCCUUACAGGCAAUGCUCACAAGUUCUCCCAUCUGACCUAAUCCCAGAGAAAGAUUUUUGUUUUGGCUUCAUCCGCCUGCCGCCAGCCAAGUCUGGGAGCACGGCCUGGUCACCACAAUCUGACCUUGUGGGAAGCGUCCCUGAGAUGCCACAUGCUCUCCCACUUGCCAAAUUCCUCAGCAGAUGAGGUUGCUUCCAGAUUUCAGCACUUACUGGCAAGCUUCAAGUGGUUUGUCCAGAAAGGCUCCGAGUGAUUAAAGACCUCUGGGAGCUGUGUUGUGGCCACUGCCUGGUUACUGACCUACACAAGCAUAGCAACAUGGGAACCAGUGACCUGGCAAAACAAACUUUUCUGCUCCCUGUCUUCUAAUAUUUAGCUUUGCUUUUCAGAUGAAAGAAGAACUAAUUCCUAUUCAUAUCCAUUCUCAUUGCCCAAUUUAGGAUUUUUUUCAUUUACUGAGAAAAACAAGCCUUCUAUUAUGAUUUAUUGAAAUUGAACAUAGCUGAUAUUCCAACUGCUGUGCAAAUAGAAGCUGAUUCACUGUUACCAACACACUGAAAAGAUUUGUUAUCCUUGUUUUAAAGGUAAAAAAUCUGGAUCAGCAAGUGGGUGGGAACCACAGAAUGGUUUGGGUUGCAAGAAACCUUAAUGCUCAUGUAAUUCCAACGCUUUGUUGUGGGCAGGGACACCUUCCACUAGGCCACCUGCUACUGCAGCUUUUUUCCACACAGCGUUUGGGGGUAGGUAGCUCACACUUCCUCAAAAACCACUGUACAGCAAGAGCAAUGAGUGCAAGGUAAAGACACAUUAAAAUAAAAGAUCUAGAUGCAUAGAGGUUCAUGGGAUGUGAAAAGAAAGUAAAGUUUUCUAACUACAUGAAACAGGACUUUUUUCUACCUCAGUUUUCUGCACACACGUGAAUUCUAAGCAAACCAAAAUUCCUUUCUCAGAAAGGGCAAUUUAGAUGAUCCCCAAGCCAACCAGCUCACACCAGGGAUUAAGAGAAAUUGCUACCUCAGCUGCCUCUCCUUCACAGUAUAAAAUAAGCCCAUUUAUAUGCCAAAAUACUUACCUUUCUCCAGCCUUGGAGAUACGGCCUCUCAUCUGAGGUCGUGUUUCUCCCCUAUCACUUUCGUCCAUGAACAGGGACAGCCACCUACUUCCUUUCUCUAGCUAAGAUAUUGUGUUUGAGACUUUCCUACAGUGCCAAUUCCUUCAGUACAAUCAGAAUCAGGAUUUGGAUCCUGGUCUGUGCCAAAAUUUUAAAGGCAACUCAACACGGAAAGGGAAAGCUGGAUCAUCCUGCCAUAGCCUGAUGAGCCAUUUUCCAAAUGGCUCUAGUUAAAAAUCAUCAGUGCUAAAUAACCUGGGAGCAGCACUGACUAACCACUUGAAUGAAUCAUUUAGAUCAAACUCUUGAGCACCAAAAGGAUGCCACAUCUCCAGAUAGGAAAUGUCAUAGAUGCUCUUCACUGCAGGACUGUGAACACCUCUUGGGGAUCUCUCUCACCAAAUUGUCUGUAGCAGUACAGAUGUAACCUUCAAGUAGAAGCCUUUUUGUACAAUGUUUGUUCUUUCCCAUCUGUUUACCAAACUGUACCAAACUGAGUCUCUCAUGAUUCUUUGCUGAAUGACAUGUUUUUGACAACUACAAAGCAGGUGCUAAGACUGGAGAAAGAAACAAGGAAAUCUUUUACAGAGAUUUGAAGUGAAACUGGACACCUGCUACGUUAAUGCAUUUGUUAAGCUUCAGUGCAAUUGGCAGGACAUGUGACACCAUUUUAAGGGGCUGAGGCUGAGAACAGGCUCAGUCAGGAGGCUCCACAGAUGCUCUUUCACAAUCCCAAAUCAACAUCUCCCACUAUCUGAUCUGAUCCCCCAUCAGUGCAGCCCCACUGGAAGCAGCCCUUCUCUGCUCUGGCACUUUUGCACUGGUGCAGAGGUACCUGUGAGAAUGAUCAGGCCCUGAGAUCUGUUAGAAAACUUGCCUAGAUGGUAGUGAGCAAACUCCACAGAGCUUUAACUACUUGUGUGCAGUGCAUCCUGAUUAAAAUCAAAUGUAUAAACGAGUCUGAUUUCAGAGAAGUGGCAAAUGGCCCUGGGCCACGUGAUUUUAACAGCCAUCAGAGUGAGUGAUGCAUCAAAAGUGAACUCCCCUUGGUAAUACAACCACAUAAUAGGGCAUUCAGAAUAUUUCUUUGCAAUGUCUUUUAUUAAAUAUCCUCUUUGAUACAGAAUAUUUAAGCAAAAAUAGUUUACAAUCUCUGUUUUGGUAACUCUUACAGGAGUCUUUUGCGUAGUCACUCCUACAGCAGCCCAUGUUGGCAUUUAAAGAAUAAAUCUUUAGCAAAAGUCAAGUCUCUCAGUUUGUGAGAUCUGUUCUACCUAAAGA